CGAACACGAACAAUCCACUUUCGAACACAACCAGCACUCGUCUCGACUUUCGAACAAUUCUAUUCCGAAACGGUGUACAGAUCGAACAUAUGAAAACGAACAUACGGCCCUCGAACACACAUACUCGUUUCGAAUAAUUCUCGUCCGAAAGGAUCGAACAUACGAACACGAACGUACGGCAACGAACACAGUCCCUCGUUUCGAACACGCCUUGCUCGAAAGUCUCUGAAAAAUUUAACUCACGGUCCGUGUGACGUACGUCCACAAUCUUCCGACGCCAUGGCCGACCUGGAAUUAAUGAAUGCCCCGGAUUUGUUCCGGCUUCGAACCACUACAAAACGCCAGCACACGAACCUCGUUA